AACGCACAUUGCGCCCCUUGGUAUUCCGAGGGGCAUGCCUGUUCGAGCGUCAUUAUAACCACUCAAGCCUGGCUUGGUAUUGGGGUCCGCGGUCUCGCGGCCCUUAAAAUCAGUGGCGGUGCCAUCUGGCUCUAAGCGUAGUAAUUUUUCUCGCUACAGGGUCUGGUGGUUACUUGCCAUUAACCCCCAUUUUCUAAGGUUGACCUCGGAUCAGGUAGGGAUACCCGCUGAACUUAA
rnacentral:misc_RNA from 1 species